UACGAAGGGGGCUAGCGUUGCUCGGAAUGACUGGGCGUAAAGGGCGCGUAGGCGGCUCAUACAGUCAGAUGUGAAAUUCCUGGGCUUAACCUGGGGGCUGCAUUUGAUACUGGUGAGCUUGAAUGCGGGAGAGGAUAGUGGAAUUCCCAGUGUAGAGGUGAAAUUCGUAGAUAUUGGGAAGAACACCGGUGGCGAAGGCGGCUAUCUGGCCCGUAAUUGACGCUGAGGCGCGAAAGCGUGGGGAGCAAACAGG
rnacentral:rRNA from 1 species